rnacentral:rRNA from 1 species
AGUGAACGCUGGCGGUAGGCCUAACACAUGCAAGUCGAACGGCAGCACAGUAAGAGCUUGCUCUUACGGGUGGCGAGUGGCGGACGGGUGAGGAAUACAUCGGAAUCUACUUUUUCGUGGGGGAUAACGUAGGGAAACUUACGCUAAUACCUCAUACGACCUACGGGUGAAUGCAGGGGAUCUUCGGACCUUGCGCGAUUGAAUGAGCCGAUGUCGGAUUAGCUAGUUGGCGGGGUAAAGGCCCACCAAGGCGACGAUCCGUAGCUGGUCUGAGAGGAUGAUCAGCCACACUGGAACUGAGACACGGUCCAGACUCCUACGGGAGGCAGCAGUAGGGAAUAUUGGACAAUGGGCGAAAGCCUGAUCCAGCAAUACCGCGUGAGUGAAGAAGGCCUUCGGGUUGUAAAGCCCUGUUGUUGGGAAAGAAAAGAAGCAGGUUAAUACACCGAUGUUCUGACGGUACCCAAAGAAUAAGCACCGGCUAACUUCGUG